GUUAGUCUUUUAAUUGGAGACUGGGAUGAAUGGUUGGACGAGAUAAUAACUGUCUCAGAAAUUAUAAUUGAAUUUCACCUUUAAAUAAAAAGGUUUAAAUGUAGGUAAGGGACGAUAAGACCCUAUAGAACUUUAUACAGAGAUGUUUUAGUUAAAAUGAUUCUGUAUUUCACUGGGGUGGUGUAGAAAGAUUUAAACUUUCGAGUAUUGUUUAAACAAAGAUUUUUGGCUUCAGAAUCCUAUAUUAUGGCUUUAGAGUAAGUUACCUUAGGGAUAACAGGUUUAUUUUUUUUUAGAGUCUAAUCGAAAAAAAAGAUUGNCCCCCCNUGUUGNAUUAANAUNGCUUAUUAAGGNGAAGUGGUUGGGANAGNAAAGCCUGUCCANCUUUUNAACUUNCGUGANCUGAGUNCCAACNGGA
rnacentral:rRNA from 1 species